rnacentral:misc_RNA from 1 species
GGCAAGCACCAAUGCACACAAUCAGAAAUAGUCACAUUCUCAUGUGGCCAAUGCCCAUAAUGGUUAGGGUGUCCAUCUGGCCUCACAACCAUUGCUUCAUUUAUGUCUAGCAAUCUAAACUUCAAACCUCUCUUCUUCCCUUCCCUUUCUGCUCUCCUUAACUCCUCAACUUGAGUCAAGUAGAGCUCCAAAUCAUCCCCUUCCAAUUUCAUUUCUCCUCUUGAAACUGGCCUUGUCCUGAUACAAUUCCCUCCUCUGUUCCAUUUCCCAUUCUCAAAAUGUGCAGGUGACAAUGUCCUCAAAAAUGUCACCCCAUUAAAAUUUUCAAGUCCCGUAAGGAUCUUGAAAGCAGUCCUGAAAACCCUUCUGUAUCCAUAUAACAUAGUAAGGUUCUUGAUAUUGUUUUUGAGGCACAAAUGGCAACCCACAACCUUGCCAUUUUCAAAGAAUACCUGUGGUCCAUAGAACCAUCUUCCAGCUGAGAUGAUGACAUAGUCAAAGGCUUCAAUUUGAGCUGCCCACACAUCAUUUGCCUCAUCUAAGUAAAGAUUCAUGAGGCGAUUGUAGGUUGGGCCAUUAGUGUCUGUGUCAAUGGCUUUAACCAAAUGAGGUGACCAAAAGGAUGCUAGUGUGAAGUUGUAGUUAACAUAGAACCAUCGUUUCAAUCUUGAAUCUGAUGUAUAAGAAACAUCUAAAGGAUAGACCACCUGCUGUAAGAGAGAGAAAGACAAUAAGGAAAAUGAUUCAGUACUGAUUGAUUCUUGCAAUCUGACAAGCCAUGCACUUACAGUGGCUAAGAGGCAGAGCAAUGACUGCAUUUGGUUUCUUGCCAGAGAGUCCCCAACAAAUGCCAUUGACUUCCCUCUUACAAGCUCCAAGAACUGGUUUGCAUCAAAUAAAGGGAGCUCACAUUGGUCAGGUUUCCAUCUCCAUUUCAAAAAAUCAGUGUCAGGUCUGCCAAACUUGAUGCAGCUAUGUUGAUCAAAGAUUUCCUGACAUGUUGCAUUAGUAUAGUAAGACCUGUUGGGGUACCAAAUCCAUCUUCCUUGGAAAAUAGUACAUGUAGUCUUCCCAAAAUUUAUGGUCUUAAGAGUUCUCAAAGAUGGCCAGGGUGAAGAGGAGUUGAAGAUGUAGAGUGGAAUAAUAGUAACAAGAAAAAGGAUAAGGCCUAGUAGGAGAAGUUUGAUCAUGGUAGGUUGAUGCCAAUGUGUAGCUCAAUGAAAUGAGCAUAACUAGAGAAAUUAAAAAUGGGACAAUUUGCAUAAUAGACACACCAAUAUAGGUAAUAUAUAAACAACUGGAUGAUAAGGAUGAAGUUCUUCGUAAGAGUGAGUAAUAUGGGCCAGGAAAAUCCUUACCUACACUACAUCCAAUCAGUCUAAAAACUGUCACAUGAACAAAAUGUGUUGAAAUUAUUUCAGGGUUCAUUGUUUUUAAGUGUGAACUUAUCAGUUUGGUAAACUGAGAGAGAGACAGAGAGAGAG